rnacentral:rRNA from 1 species
AACAUGCCCCAAAGUGAGGGAUAAGCUCCAGAAAUGGAGUCUAAUACCGCAUAUGAUCUUCGGAUUAAAGGAUUUAUCCGCUUUGGGAGUGGCCUGCGUACGAUUAGAUAGUUGGUGAGGUAAUGGCUUACCAAGUCUACGAUCGUUAGCUGGUCUGAGAGGAUGACCAGCCAGACUGGAACUGAGACACGGUCCAGACUCCUACGGGAGGCAGCAGUGAGGAAUCUUCCACAAUGGGCGAAAGCCUGAUGGAGCAACGCCGCGUGCAG